rnacentral:rRNA from 1 species
UACGAGAGGCCCAAACGUUAUUCGGAAUUACUGGGCUUAAAGAGUUCGUAGGCGGCAUGACAAGUAGGGUGUGAAAGCCCUCGGCUCAACCGAGGAAUUGCGCUCUAAACUGUCGUGCUUGAGGAACCUAGAGGUGAGCAGAACAGAUGGUGGAGCGGUGAAAUGCGUUGAUAUCUGGAGGAACACCGGUGGCGAAGGCGGCAUCCUGGACCGGCAUUGACGCUGAGGCGCGAAAGCUAGGGGAGCAAACGGG